ACAUGAAAAGGAUGGUUUCUUGGAGCUUCCACAAACUUAAAACCAUGAAACAUCUAUUAUUGCUACUAUUGUGUGUUUUUCUAGUUAAGUCCCAAGGUGUCAACGACAAUGAGGAGAUGAGAAAACUGGGGCACAGAUAAAGCAACUUGCCCAAGGUCUCAUAGCUGGUUUCUUCAGUGCCCGUGGUCAUCGACCCCUUGACAAGAAGAGAGAAGAGGCUCCCAGCCUGAGGCCUGCCCCACCGCCCAUCAGUGGAGGUGGCUAUCGGGCUCGUCCAGCCAAAGCAGCUGCCACUCAAAAGAAAGUAGAAAGAAAAGCCCCUGAUGCUGGAGGCUGUCUUCACGCUGACCCAGACCUGGGGGUGUUGUGUCCUACAGGAUGUCAGUUGCAAGAGGCUUUGCUACAACAGGAAAGGCCAAUCAGAAAUAGUGUUGAUGAGUUAAAUAACAAUGUGGAAGCUGUUUCCCAGACCUCCUCUUCUUCCUUUCAGUACAUGUAUUUGCUGAAAGACCUGUGGCAAAAGAGGCAGAAGCAAGUAAAAGAUAAUGAAAAUGUAGUCAAUGAG
rnacentral:lncRNA from 10 species